UCGGUCCCGGUUCACGUCCGCGCACGUGAGGAGCGAAAUAGCUCCUGGCACUUCGGGCGACCCGGGCC
rfam:Mycobacterium wolinskyi strain CDC_01 Contig_34, whole genome shotgun sequence.